rnacentral:rRNA from 1 species
GGUUAAGCGACUAAGCGUACACGGUGGAUGCCCUGGCAGUCAGAGGCGAUGAAGGACGUGCUAAUCUGCGAUAAGCGUCGGUAAGGUGAUAUGAACCGUUAUAACCGGCGAUUUCCGAAUGGGGAAACCCAGUGUGUUUCGACACACUAUCAUUAACUGAAUCCAUAGGUUAAUGAGGCGAACCGGGGGAACUGAAACAUCUAAGUACCCCGAGGAAAAGAAAUCAACCGAGAUUCCCCCAGUAGCGGCGAGCGAACGGGGAGCAGCCCAGAGCCUGAAUCAGUGUGUGUGUUAGUGGAAGCGUCUGGAAAGGCGCGCGAUACAGGGUGACAGCCCCGUACACAAAAAUGCACAUACUGUGAGCUCGAUGAGUAGGGCGGGACACGUGGUAUCCUGUCUGAAUAUGGGGGGACCAUCCUCCAAGGCUAAAUACUCCUGACUGACCGAUAGUGAACCAGUACCGUGAGGGAAAGGCGAAAAGAACCCCGGCGAGGGGAGUGAAAAAGAACCUGAAACCGUGUACGUACAAGCAGUGGGAGCCUCUUAAUGGGGUGACUGCGUACCUUUUGUAUAAUGGGUCAGCGACUUAUAUUCUGUAGCAAGGUUAACCGAAUAGGGGAGCCGAAGGGAAACCGAGUCUUAACUGGGCGUUAAGUUGCAGGGUAUAGACCCGAAACCCGGUGAUCUAGCCAUGGGCAGGUUGAAGGUUGGGUAACACUAACUGGAGGACCGAACCGACUAAUGUUGAAAAAUUAGCGGAUGACUUGUGGCUGGGGGUGAAAGGCCAAUCAAACCGGGAGAUAGCUGGUUCUCCCCGAAAGCUAUUUAGGUAGCGCCUCGUGAAUUCAUCUCCGGGGGUAGAGCACUGUUUCGGCAAGGGGGUCAUCCCGACUUACCAACCCGAUGCAAACUGCGAAUACCGGAGAAUGUUAUCACGGGAGACACACGGCGGGUGCUAACGUCCGUCGUGAAGAGGGAAACAACCCAGACCGCCAGCUAAGGUCCCAAAGUCAUGGUUAAGUGGGAAACGAUGUGGGAAGGCCCAGACAGCCAGGAUGUUGGCUUAGAAGCAGCCAUCAUUUAAAGAAAGCGUAAUAGCUCACUGGUCGAGUCGGCCUGCGCGGAAGAUGUAACGGGGCUAAACCAUGCACCGAAGCUGCGGCAGCGACACUAUGUGUUGUUGGGUAGGGGAGCGUUCUGUAAGCCUGUGAAGGUGUACUGUGAGGUAUGCUGGAGGUAUCAGAAGUGCGAAUGCUGACAUAAGUAACGAUAAAGCGGGUGAAAAGCCCGCUCGCCGGAAGACCAAGGGUUCCUGUCCAACGUUAAUCGGGGCAGGGUGAGUCGACCCCUAAGGCGAGGCCGAAAGGCGUAGUCGAUGGGAAACAGGUUAAUAUUCCUGUACUUGGUGUUACUGCGAAGGGGGGACGGAGAAGGCUAUGUUGGCCGGGCGACGGUUGUCCCGGUUUAAGCGUGUAGGCUGGUUUUCCAGGCAAAUCCGGAAAAUCAAGGCUGAGGCGUGAUGACGAGGCACUACGGUGCUGAAGCAACAAAUGCCCUGCUUCCAGGAAAAGCCUCUAAGCAUCAGGUAACAUCAAAUCGUACCCCAAACCGACACAGGUGGUCAGGUAGAGAAUACCAAGGCGCUUGAGAGAACUCGGGUGAAGGAACUAGGCAAAAUGGUGCCGUAACUUCGGGAGAAGGCACGCUGAUAUGUAGGUGAAGUCCCUCGCGGAUGGAGCUGAAAUCAGUCGAAGAUACCAGCUGGCUGCAACUGUUUAUUAAAAACACAGCACUGUGCAAACACGAAAGUGGACGUAUACGGUGUGACGCCUGCCCGGUGCCGGAAGGUUAAUUGAUGGGGUUAGCGGUAACGCGAAGCUCUUGAUCGAAGCCCCGGUAAACGGCGGCCGUAACUAUAACGGUCCUAAGGUAGCGAAAUUCCUUGUCGGGUAAGUUCCGACCUGCACGAAUGGCGUAAUGAUGGCCAGGCUGUCUCCACCCGAGACUCAGUGAAAUUGAACUCGCUGUGAAGAUGCAGUGUACCCGCGGCAAGACGGAAAGACCCCGUGAACCUUUACUAUAGCUUGACACUGAACAUUGAGCCUUGAUGUGUAGGAUAGGUGGGAGGCUUUGAAGUGUGGACGCCAGUCUGCAUGGAGCCGNNCGGGGUUGCGGACAGUGUCUGGUGGGUAGUUUGACUGGGGCGGUCUCCUCCUAAAGAGUAACGGAGGAGCACGAAGGUUGGCUAAUCCUGGUCGGACAUCAGGAGGUUAGUGCAAUGGCAUAAGCCAGCUUGACUGCGAGCGUGACGGCGCGAGCAGGUGCGAAAGCAGGUCAUAGUGAUCCGGUGGUUCUGAAUGGAAGGGCCAUCGCUCAACGGAUAAAAGGUACUCCGGGGAUAACAGGCUGAUACCGCCCAAGAGUUCAUAUCGACGGCGGUGUUUGGCACCUCGAUGUCGGCUCAUCACAUCCUGGGGCUGAAGUAGGUCCCAAGGGUAUGGCUGUUCGCCAUUUAAAGUGGUACGCGAGCUGGGUUUAGAACGUCGUGAGACAGUUCGGUCCCUAUCUGCCGUGGGCGCUGGAGAACUGAGGGGGGCUGCUCCUAGUACGAGAGGACCGGAGUGGACGCAUCACUGGUGUUCGGGUUGUCAUGCCAAUGGCACUGCCCGGUAGCUAAAUGCGGAAGAGAUAAGUGCUGAAAGCAUCUAAGCACGAAACUUGCCCCGAGAUGAGUUCUCCCUGACUC